CCAUGGGCUCUGGCCUUGUAAGGCCAAUUGCUCCUAAUCUCCUAUACGAAAAAAAUUCUAGCAGAGAGAACGAGAGUUGAGAGAGCAAAUCGAAGUUCGCAAUCGCCAUGUAUAUUGAAUGAGAGCAAAGGAACCUCUCUCGUCUUCUCUGAUCUGUUUUCUUCGACUGCACGCCAAUUGCUUGAGCUCUUAUUUCUCGGCCUUUUAUCAGGAUGGAAGUUGAUGGUGUGAUUACCCCAGAAGAACAGCCCGUGGGUGUGACUAUGGAUUUGGAGCAAGAGCAAGAACAACAAGAGCAUGAGGAAGACGAAGUGGAAAAUGAAGAUCAGGAGGGAGUUGAAGAGGGAGUUGAAGAGGGAGAUGGGGGAGGAGAAAACGAAAACGAAGAAAGUUUAGAGAUUGAUAAGAAAAGAAAGAGAAGGAGAUCCGCGGUUUGGGAUGAGUUCGAUGAAGUAAAAGGAACAAACAAAAUGCAAUGCAAACAUUGCAAGGCACAACUUCAAAUCAGUGGUGGCAUGACAUCUCAUUUCAGGAGACACUUAAAGGGAUGUGCAAGAAGGAUGACAAAUCAAAAGUCUCAAAAGAUAUCGGGUUUCCGCUCGGGUAAAAUCACUAGUGAGACAUCUCCUCAUUCUACUUUUAUAUAUGAUUAUAAGAAGGUCAGAGAUAGUAUUGCACAUUUUAUUCUCAUGCAUGAGCAUCCAUUCUCUAUAGUGGAGCAAGAGGGAUUUAAUCUUAUCAUGAAGAAUAGUUCUCAUGAGUAUAUACCAUAUACUCGUAUCACUGCGCAAAGUGAUUGCAUGGAAGAGUAUGAUAAAGAAAAAAAGAAGUUAAAGUCAUUACUAAAAAAUGUCAACAAAUAGAAUACAUGGUUGUUACUGGGCACUUUAUUGAUGCUAAUUGGAAAUUGCAGAAAAGAGUACUUAACUUUGUGGAUAUACCACCUCCACGAGAUGGUGUUGAUAUUGCUGAUGCUUUCUUCAAAUGCAUGACUGAGUGGGGAAUUGAAAAUAAAGUUUAUUCUUUGUCUGUUGAUAAUGCUUCUUAUAAUGAUGUGGCAAUUAGAACUUUGAAGAACACAUUUCUUAGAAAUAAGAAAUUGAUACUUGAUGGACAGUUGUUUCAUGUUCGUUGCUGUGCAUACAUUCUGAAUCUUUUAGUUCAAGAUGGAAUUGCUGCCAUUGAUGAUGUGAUUUACAAUGUGAGGGAGAGUGUCAAAUGUUUGAAAAAUUCUGAAGCACGAUUUUUGAAGUUCACUGAAAUAGUUAAGCAAUUGCAACUACCUGCUAGGAAGCUGAUUUUGGAUGUUCCAACACGGUGGAACUCUACUUUUGAGAUGUUGUCACUUGCUUUGAAGUUUAAGGAUGCAUUUUUUAUUUUUAAAGAAAGGGAACCUCUUUAUCAUAAUUUACCAACAUAGGAAGAAUGGGAGAGAGUAGAGAAUGUAUGUCAAAUCUUAUCUGUGUUCAACACAAUCACUAAUCUCAUAUCGGGAAGUGACUACCCAACUUCCAAUUUAUUUCUUUCUGAGAUGUAUCGAGUGAAAGAAAUUUUACAAAAGAGAGCAAUGGAUAACAACAUAUACAUCAAAGCUAUGGUUGGGAAAAUGAAUGCGAAGUUUGAGAAGUAUUGGGGUGAGUGCAAUUUAUUGAUUUCGAUUGCUGCUGUGUUAGAUCCACAGUGUAAAAUGAAGUUGAUUGAAUUUUGUUUUCCAUUGAUUUAUGAAAAGUUCGAAGUGAUAUACAAUAUUGAGAAGGUCCGUGGAGCUUUAUAUGAAAUGUAUGAGCAGUAUGCAGCUAAUUUUGCCUCAACCAACGAGGAAGGUAGUAGUCAGAGAUCAUCUAAAUCCCAGGGAGAUGAUGUUGGUUCUAGCUCUACAGUUGAUAUUAAUUCUGGAUGGUCCAAAUUUGAUGAGUUUGUAGACAUGACUGAAAAUGCUCCCCCUACAAAAUCUGAUUUGGAUGUUUACCUAGGAGAAGUUGUUUAUAGAUGUUCUCAAGAAGAAAGAAGAAAAUGGAAUGCUUUAGGUUGGUGGAGGGUAAAUAGCCUAAAGUAUCGUAUUUUGUCAAAAAUGGCUUCAGAUGUUCUAGCUAUUCCCAUCACAACAGUAGCUUCAGAGGCUACAUUCAGUGCAGGUAGUAGAGUUAUCGACACAUAUCGAGCUAAUUUAGCACCAAAAACUGUUGAAGGUUUGAUGUGUGGAGGUGAUUGGAUACGAAAUCUUCAUGGGUUAAAGAAGAAAUCGCGCAAGAAAGAAGAAAAUGAUGAAGAGUUUGUUCUCAAUGUUCCAUAAAAGUUAGGUGAGUGUAAUACUAUUAGAUUAUGUUCAAUAUUUACAAAUUUUGAUUCAGACAUAAAAGCAUUUUGUCAUGCAUUGAAAGUUAGUUUCUAAACACAAGUAUAUCUAUGUCUUAAUUUCUAAACACAAGUAUAUCUAUGUUCUUUGUUAGUUUCUUAUUUACCCAAAUACUAUUGAUUUUCCCCUUUUCUUGCCUUCGACUAUCUGAUCUCAAGUCAUCAAUUCAAUAUGAUAGUGUUUGCAAACUAGGGUGCAACCAUGCAGCCAUGGGAGAGGGUAGAGAAUGGGAGAGGUGGUGUUUGAUUUACUGAUUUCCUUUUCCCAAAUAGAAUUUCCAUCACAGGUUGGAGUUUCGGAAGUUAUAGAGUUCAUUUCAAAACAUGGAGAUUCAAGCUGCUUACAAUCAAGAAGGAUUGUUGGAGUUUCAUUACAGAUUUUGUUAUUGUUUAUGAAGCAUUUGACUCGUAUAUUAUUUUGGAGUUUACUUACGGAUUUUAUGUAAUGUUGGUUGCUAUUGUAGUAAUUUUACUUGUAUUAA